rnacentral:rRNA from 1 species
AUGACUGGUUCAGCAGCUGCAGUCCAUCACCACUCAUCAGCACCCAUCUUCUUCAACUCUGUUCGUCGGCUCGCUGCCUACUGCCCUCCUUCAUUUCUUCACAUCGCAGCUGAAGAGACAAUUGAAGAAUUUGGGGACAAGGUGAAGGGAAAGCACAAGGUCCAUGGUGGUGCCGAAAUUGAUUUGUUUGAUGUCAAGUACUAUGUUAUCAAGUACUAA